CUAAAAAAAAUACAAAAAUUAGCCCAGCAUGGUGGCAGGAGAAUUGCUUGAACCUGGGAGGCGGAUGUUGCAGUGUGGAAAUAACAUGAUAUCUGGAUUAUAACAUUAUAACAUGACUUAAUUUCCAAAGACAAGAGCAGGCUCCAGAGAUCAGACUAAAAAGAUUCUUUUCUCUUCUUUUCUCUUCUCUUCUCUUCUCUUCUCUUCUCUUCUCUUUGUCUCCCUCUCUCUCCCUCCCUCCCUCCUUGAGACUAUGAGACUCCUAGGAUAGGGAGAGCACUGACUUCCCCUACCUUUCUUCAGCACUAGGACACAUCUAAGAGUUGUAGCCCUGGCCGGGCACAGUGGCUCACGCCUGUAAUCCCAGCACUUUGGGAGGCCGAGGCAGGCGGAACAUGAGGUCAAGAGAUCGAGACCAUCCUGGCCAACAAGGUGAAACCCCAUCUCUACUAAAAAUACAAAAAUUAGCUGGGCAUGAUGGCACACGCCUGUAGUCCAGCAACCCAGAUUACUCUGGGUAAUCAAAAUCAAUCAUUCCAGCCAGUAGAUUAGCUCCCUUUUAGCUCCUUUUUUUGUUAGUUUGCUUAUUUGUUUAGUGGUGGAGGGAGCCCAAAGUGACCAGAUCAAAACUUCAUCUUUCAAUUUGAUGAAGUCAUUGCUAUGGACCUAUCAUGUCCCCCAGGGGAAGCAUUCUCCGUGAUGGAAGAGAGCCAAUUCAAUCAACCUGCCGCUAGGUGGCAGGGUGGUCCCCAGGGAAUGGUGCCACAAUGGAAACUGUUGAUAUCCAAAAUUGGCAGAUAGACAAAUGGGACUUAAUUAAACUAAAAAGCUUCUGCAUAGAAAAAGGAAUACAAACAGGCAACCCUCGGAAUGG
rnacentral:lncRNA from 1 species